UGUGAGACAGGCCCCAGACUCCUUCGGGAGGCAGCAGUCAGGAAUAUUGCUCAAUGGACGCAAGCCUGCUGCAGCGACCCCGCGUGAGGGAGAAGGCCUUCGGGUGGUAAACCUCUUUCAGUAGGGAAGAAGCAAAAGUGCCGGUACAGCCAGAAGAAGCCCCGGCUACUUACGUCCCAGCAGCCGCGGUAAUCGGUAGGGGCAAGCGUUAUCCGGAAUUAUGGGCGUAAAGAGCUCGUAGGCGGUCUGUAAAGUCAGCCGUGAAAGUCCGGGGCUCAACUCCGGAUCUGCGGUGGGUACGGGCAGUCUUGAGUGAUGUAGGGGAGACUGGAAUUCCUGGUGUAGCGGUGAAAUUCGCAGAUAUCAGGAGGAACACCGGUGGCGAAGGCGGUUCUCUGGGCAUUACCUGACGCUGAGGAGCGAAAGCGUGGGGAGCGAACAGGAUUAGAUACCCGGGUAGUCC
rnacentral:rRNA from 1 species